AGAACCCUGAACCUCGGUGGAGACGCAAAAGCAAACAGGUCUGGCUCAACUUCACUUGAUAACACAAAGGAAUAUGACUUUUAAGUUCCCUGGAAAUGGCUGUCAUGGUUGGCUGAGCCCGUAGGUCAAGGUCAUCAGUGUAAUUCCUGGAAAGAGAUGCAGAGUGAGUACUGCUGGUCUGGGCCAGGUGCCUCAAAUCCUAAAACUUUAGAAUAGGAAACAUACGCUGUGGUUCUUGAGAGGGACCAGGCAGGUGAGAAAGGUUAUAGGAAUGAAGGGGAACAUUUCCACUAGGGAGAGAGUGGAAAGUAUGUGUCCUUAGCUGCGUCACCGACUCAGCUGGGUCACCUGCCCCAAAACAGCUCAGUGCUAGAAAUCAGAAGAAGCCCAGGGCAGAACAAUCCAUGCUCCUCCCAGGAGUGAAGUCCCAGUCGCUUUCCCUUGCAGAGGGGGCAGGAAAAUCCUUCUUUCUACUUUGAAUUUUCAUCAUGAUAACCAUGCCUUUGCCAAGGAACCCAGAUAAAGGAAACUCUGUGUCUUCCUUGGUGAAGUAAACCAGUAUGGGCCAGAAAGAUGUGAGAAGCCAAUGUCAGGAGGAACCAUACUUCCUGCAUCCCCUCCUGAAUCAUCCGGUAAUAAGCUUCUAACAUGCAGAAAGCCCUGAAGAAAUACAGCAGAGAAGGAAGUGAAUGAGCCAACUGCUUUGGCUCCAAGCCCGAGAAACACCCUGCUUCAAGAAUAAAAUUGCACCUCUCAUGCCAACAGUUCAGAUGAAGAAAAUCAAGGCACAAAAUGGGGCCUGGGAUAGAACUAGAGAGGCACUGUCUUUCAAAGGAUUUUCUCCUCCAUUGCCUUCACCUGUCAGUGCCUUCAGGCUCUGCCUCAGCUCUUUGGCCCAAGGUCAUGGCCUUCCAAGGACAGCCUGCCUUGAACAGAAUGGCAAGGUACAAAGGCAUAGGCAUCUCGGCCCAACAUGGGACAAUUCUGAUGGGUCGUCGUCGCAACAGAGCUCCCUGCCUGCCUGUGAUCUGAGCGAGUAAAGCUCCAAAGCACAGAGACCUCCCCCAGAGCCAGUCUGCCAUCUUACCCCCAGGAAGGUCUUCUCCAUGCUGCAGCUGCUGAUGUUUCUGAAGUAUGAGCCCAACCUCAUCUUCCUCUUCUGAAAUGAUCACAACUCGCCAUGUCAAGAUCUAAGGUACCAACAAGCCCUUAAGUUGGAAACCAGAUAAAAUUUUCUAGGAUUGCAAUGUUUUAAGAUUCGCAUGUUUUUCUAAUAUGUAUUUGAGAACCAGGGAGAAUAUUACCAGUUCUUUGUUUUUAGGGCCACACCUGCAGCAUAUGGAAGUUCCUGGGCUGGGGGUCGAAUUGGAACUGCAGCUCCCGGCCUACGCCACAGCCACGGCAAUGCCAGAUCCUUAAUCCACUGAGGGAGUCCAGGGAGCAAACCCAUAUCCUCAUGUACACUAUGUCAGGUCUUUUUUUUUCGGAUUUUUUUUCUUUUUUGGCCACACAGGUAGUAUUGGAAGUUGCCGGGCCAGGGAUCAAACCUACGCCACAGAGCAGCAACCAGAGCCACAGCGCUGAGAACGCUGGAGUCUCAACCCACUAGGCCAUCAGAGAACUCCCCAUGUAGGGUUCUUAACUCAUCAAGCCACAAUGGGAACUCCCAGUUCUCUAAGCAACUCCCACCUGUAGAAUUUGGCUUUGCUCCCCAGACGCUAUUUUCUCCUUCUUGGCUAAGGAGGAAGGAUGGGGCGGUUUAAAGGACCUCCAUGGGAUUUAAGAUGAAUCCACAAAGCUUUGGGCAUUUACGAGUAAUAAUUUACAUAUCUUUACAUGUGUAACCUCAGCUCUGAAAAAACCCAAGGGGCCUGUGGUCUGACCUGUUGAUGUUGACAUUCUCUGGCCUCCUACACAAGAAGAAAGACUUGUUUAUUUCUUUGGACUUUGGACCAUGUGAAGUCCACUCUACAGUGUGCCAAAAAGACUGGGGUUGGCUGAUUUCUAUUUUUAUUAGAAAUCCUGAGCUUCAGGAAAAAUGGAAUUUUAGCUAGGAGGGCAGAUUUGCUUUUUUUUUUUUUUAAUUUGUCUAUUAACCGACCUCUCUAUCUACUGAUAUAAAUAAGCUUACUUUUUGUUAUAUUGAAGUACAGUUGGUUAACAAUGUUGUGUUAAUUUCUGCUCUACAGCAGAGUGACUCAGUUAUGCAUAUAUAUAUAGAUGUCAAGAUCGCCAUGCCAAGAUCUAAGGUACCACCAACCCUUUAGUUGGAAACCAGAUAAAAUUCUCUAGGAUUGCAAUGUUUAAGAUUCACAUGUAUUUCUAAUAUGUAUUUGAGAACCAGGGAGAAUAUUACCAUAUAUAUAUAUAUAUAUAUUCCAUAUAUACAUAUAUAUUCUUGUUCAUUAUGGUUUAUCACAGGAUAAUGAAUAUAGUUCCUAGUGCUAUACAAUAGGACCUUGUUGUCUAUUCAUCCUGUACAUAAUAGUUUGCAUUCGCUAAUCCCAAGCUCCAAAUCCUUCCCUCCCCCAACCCCCUUGGCAACCACAUGCCUGUUCUCUAUGUCUGUGUGUCUGUUUCUGUUUCAUAGAUAUGUUCAUUUGUGUUGUAUUUUAUUUUAUUGUUUUACAGCUGUACCUGCAGCUAGGGGUCAAAUUGGAGCUGCAUCUGCAGACCUAUGCCACAGCCACAGCAACUUGGGAUCCGAGCCGCAUCUGUGACCUACACCAUAGCUAGUGGCAAUGCUGGAUCCAUAACAUACAGAGUGAGGCCAGGAAUCGAACCUGUAUCCUCAUGGACACUAUGUCAGUUUCUUAACCUGCUAAGUCACAACAGGAACUCCUUGUGUUGUAUUUUAGCUUCCACCUAAAAGUGGUAUCAUAUGGUAUUUUUCUUUCUCUUUCUGAUUUACUUCACUCAGUAUGAUAAUCUCUAGGUCCAACCUUGUUCCUGCAAAUGGCAUUAUUUCAUUCUUUUUUUUAAUGGCUGAUUAGUAUUCCAUUGUGUGUAAUCCACUCAUUUGUGUAUGGAUAUUUAGGUUGUUUCCAUGUCUUGGCUGUUGUAAAUAGUGCUGCUGUGACCAUAGGUGUCCAUGUGUCUUUUUGAAUUACAGUUUUGUCUGGAUAUGUGCCCAGGAGUGAGAUUGCUAAAUCAUAUGGUAACGCUAUCCUUUCUGAUAACCUCCAUACAGUUUUCUAUAGUGGCUGCACCAAUUUACAUUCCCACCAACAGUGUAAGAAGGUUCCCUUUUCUCCACACCCUUUCUGCUUUGUUUGAGUUCUUAUUCCAACGUUUCUAGGUUUGCAAAUUUGGGGAAGUUAUUGACACACGUCUGUGCCUUGAUUUCCUCAUUUGCAACAACAGAGAAAUAGGCACAAGUAGAAGCUUACCUUGAGUCUACUUUUCUCUUCUUUUCUUUUUUUUUUUUAACCCAGCCAUUUUGUAGACAAACAAAGAUUUCAAGGACUUGUGCAAAUGCGGAUUCACUGGGACUGUUUCACAACUGCCUCCCCAUGAUGUCAGCAGACGUUUAAGGAACAAGCAGAGUGACACAAGGUCAGGGAGAAGAGUGGGAGGGUCCUGCCUCUGUCACCACAUCCAGGGUUAGGCCAAGGCAUUUGCAGGAUCGCCAGCAACAUUCUCAUAACCAUUAUUUUAAAUGGCAUUCGAAUUUUACAGACAUUAAUUAAUUUCUUGGGUGAGGUAUGCACUGUGCCACUCCUUGGGCUGGGUUCAUUGACUUACAAAUAAACAAAUUAUGCAUCCUGAAGGGUUCACGUAGAGAGAAGACAAGCCCCAAAGCCGGGGAGUCAGGGGAAACCUGGGUCUUAUUUUGGUCUUGUCUCUCCUGAGCUGGCCCUUCUCCAUCUAUUCAGGCUUAUUCUCUGCUUUUUCUCAACACAUUCCCUUUGCUCUCUUCAGCUCUCCCUCCCACGGUCCCAAGGCUGUGAUGCACUCAGGCUUUCAUCAUGUUGGCCUUCUAGGAAAGCUUCCCUUUCUUACCUUCUUAUCCAUAUUUUGCUCAUCCUUUAGGGCCCAAAGCACCAGCUUUCCUCUCCAUGCUUCUCUCCCCUACUAUGCUGCUUUCAUGAUUUCUUUCAGCAUCUAGAAGAAUUAUACAGGCAAAAACCGAGGCUUCCAUCUUUUUUUUUUUUUUUUUUUUUUUUUUUUUUUUUUUUUGCUAUUGCUAUAGUGUCCCUCCUUGCAUAUUUAUUGAAGGCUUAUGCUGUGGCACAUCUGUGCUAGCAGCCACAUGUUCUAUGUGCUCUCUGAAUUCUAAGUUCUAGAUUUUUUUUUUUGUGAGACUUUAAGAUAUUAAGUUAUUUGCACAAAGCCCCAAGCUAGGAAGUGACAAGGAUGGAAUUUAACUUUGAGCCUGUCCCUUUUUGCAACUUUCCAGAAAAUCUUGUGUGCGGCAUGUGAACGAGUCACGUGCAGAUAGGAGGGAUGGGAAGGCCUUCUCAGAAGGUCUGAAGAUGAGCUUGACAGAGGAGUGAGAACUGGUGAACAGAUUUAGUGGGUGGUUGGGUGGGGGUGCGGUGAGCAGAGUGUUCUGGGCUGAGGACACGAGGGAAUAAGAGGCCCAAGGGAAGGAUUGUGGAGUACUGGAGGGAAAUGGGGCCUCAGGGUUGGGUGAGGAUCACAGCUCUCUGACCACCUGUCUCAUGGGAGGACUUGCCUAAGCUUGGCCUGAGCACUGGCCAGAGGCCUAGUGCCAGGUUGAAAGUUUCUCCAAGCAGCAAGAGAGAGAUUUUAAGGCUGAAUGCAAGCUUUGCCCUUAGGAGGGAAGAGAGCCAGAUUGGGCUGCUCCUUUGGUCCCUGAACUCAAGCACUGAGAGAGGGGCCAUCAGUGGGAGACCAAGCUCAUUUCAGAAGUUAAAUGGGUGCUAGGAUGGAGUGAGAGCCAAGGGUAAGUGUUGGGGCAGAGCGUGGGUCCAAGCACAUUUGAUGAAUAGAGCUGGUGGCCUGGGGCUUGUCUGCAAUAACUGCAACAACCAAGAAGGCCUAUGUGGCUUACAGGUAGGGAAUCUGGAAAGAGAAGACCAUGAGGGUCUUAGAGGAUCACAUGAAGGGGCAGAGUCUUUAAAAAGAUCUCUCGACCCUAUGACUUCAUUUUUAUUUUUUGUUUAUUCAUUUGUUUGGCCACGCCCAAAGGGAAGGAAUGGAACCCACGCCACAGCAGUGACCUUGCCAGAUCCUCAACCUGCUGCGCCACUAGGGAACUCCAACCCUGUGGUUUUGGAGUAAGUUGUCAGGGGUGGGGGUGGGAGUGGGGCAGGACUGAUGGAGGCAGAGUCAGUCGAGGGCAGCUGUAGAGUUGAUUCAUUGGGAGCAGCAGAGGUAUGGGUAGAAUGCUCUAUCCCCUGCCCCAAAGCCUCAGUUGCUAUGGAGUGAAAUAUGUCUAGGAGGAGGAGAUACGUUGGGAUUUCUGAAAAUCUCACGCUGUCUGUGGGAGGCCUUCUGCGUGGAGGCUGAGGGAUGUCUUGGGGAUUUGGGAUUCCCUCCCUUCCACAAAUAUUUUUCUGCUUAUUCAUUGACUAAUUGUCUGUUGAGUACAUAGCAUUAUACUAGGUACCACUCUGGGCACUGGGAAGAGGGGGCCCCAAGGCAUCAAUGUCCCUGUAUGCAUGAAGAUUUAUUAUAGCACAGGAGACAGACAUGGGACAAAUAAACACACAAAUUGAGGUGUGAAUUUGGAAUGUGAGUGCUAUGAGAAAGAUGGUAGAAGGGUCUGAUAGUUGGGGUGAGUGGAGAGGCCUCUCUGAGGAAAUGAUAUUUAAGCUUAGAUCUGAUGGAUGAGCAAGAGUUGACCAAGUGAAGCAGGAGGAGAGAGCAUUCCAGACCAUGGGAAUAAUGUGGGCAAAAUCUUUGUGACAGGAAAGAACUUGUAGCUUCAAUAGAAAUCAAAGUUGUUGGAAUGCAGAGAGCAAAGUAGGGGCUGGAGAAGUAGGCAGGGGCUUCAGAGUCCAGGUUGGGGACCUCAAAUUUUAUCUUCUAGUCAUAGGGGAGCCAUUAGAGGAGUUAAAUAGAGACAUGACAUAAUCAGCAGAGGUUCUGGCUCUGACUGCCACAGGGAGAAUGGGUUGGAGAGAUAAAAUUGGGAAGACCAAUUCAGAGGCUACUGCAGAUGUCCAGGCAGGAUACAAUCACAUUGGGGUUCCCUUGUAGUGCAGCAGGUUAAGGAUCCCUGUCACUUGAAACUUGACAAUGUAAGGAUACAUUGUCACUGCAGAGGCUCAGGUUGCUGCUGUGGAAUCCAUUCGAUUCCUGGCCCUGAGAACCUCCACAUGCCUUGGGUGUGACCAAAAAGAAAAAAAGAAAAAA
rnacentral:lncRNA from 1 species